rnacentral:misc_RNA from 1 species
GAUGAAGAACGCAGCGAAAUGCGAUAAGUAAUGUGAAUUGCAGAAUUCAGUGAAUCAUCGAAUCUUUGAACGCACAUUGCGCCCGCCAGUAUUCUGGCGGGCAUGCCUGUCUGAGCGUCAUUUCAACCCUCAUGCCCCUAGGGCGUGGUGUUGGGGAUCGGCCAAAGCCCGCAAGGGACGGCCGGCCCCUAAAUCUAGUGGCGGACCCGUCGUGGCCUCCCCUGCGAAGUAGUGAUAUUCCGCAUAGGAGAAGCGACGAGCCCCUGCCGUUAAACCCCCAACUUUCUCAGGUUGACCUCAGAUCAGGUAGGAAUACCCGCUGAACUUAAGCAUAUCAAUAAGCGGAGGA